CUUUUUGCAGAUCUGCGAUUGUACUUGUGAGAGAAAUUAAUUAAAAUAUCUUUUGAUUACAAGCUAGGGUAUGUGUGUCUAGUCUAAUCCAAACUAAAGAGUUUUGAUCGAUAAUUCUGCAGAUGAAGGAUUCAAAGCAUGAUUUAAAUUGGUGCGUAUCUUCAGAUGAUUAAUCUGCUCUUCCUCUAUUUUGAGUCGUCAGUUCCCAUUUAGAUCCAGACUCUGCAGAGUUCCUAUUGAACUUCCAUUAAUAUGUUUUGAUUACCAAGAAUGUAUCUUGAUCUACAAGAGUUGCUAAUCAGAAGCUGAGAUAAACAGGUUAUGAUUCUCUCAAUUGCUGUCUCUUUUUUUCUUGCUUCUUCUCUUUCUGGGAGGGACAAAGGCAUUUUGAUUCAAAAUUAAUAUUAUUAAUCAACUUUGUUUUGCAUAGUGGUUUCUGCUGUGGAAUUAGUAGAUCUUGAAAAUUGGAACUGACCAGUUUGGAACUGGCUGGAUCAUCGAUAUGCAAAUCAUGGUGGGAAGGAACUUGUCACAUUGGCACUGCCAUUCUUGUCUUUGCCUUUACACUUGUAAGCUGUGGACCAACUAUAAGUUUCCUAUCAGCUUGAGGGAGAUAAUAAUGCAGAUAUCAUGACUUGAGCAUCCGUAUGAAAAUUUUGUUCAUGACUUAGUUUCUUGUUUUCAUUUGACAUAUAGAAUUCGAAGUGUACUUGUUUUUCAGCUUGUAUGUAAUUACACUCCAGAUUAAA